UGUUAUCAAUUGCUUGUCAGGUUGAAAAGAUGGGUGCUAUAUUUGCACAGUUCAGUCCGAAUUCUCAAUGGUUAGCCUCCUUGAGCGUAAAAAACUCUACUUCAACAAAUGAUGAAACACAAGC